rnacentral:rRNA from 1 species
GGAGACACACGGCGGGUGCUAACGUCCGUCGUGAAGAGGGAAACAACCCAGACCGCCAGCUAAGGUCCCAAAGUCAUGGUUAAGUGGGAAACGAUGUGGGAAGGCCCAGACAGCCAGGAUGUUGGCUUAGAAGCAGCCAUCAUUUAAAGAAAGCGUAAUAGCUCACUGGUCGAGUCGGCCUGCGCGGAAGAUGUAACGGGGCUAAACCAUGCACCGAAGCUGCGGCAGCGACGCUUAUGCGUUGUUGGGUAGGGGAGCGUUCUGUAAGCCUGCGAAGGUGUGCUGUGAGGCAUGCUGGAGGUAUCAGAAGUGCGAAUGCUGACAUAAGUAACGAUAAAGCGGGUGAAAAGCCCGCUCGCCGGAAGACCAAGGGUUCCUGUCCAACGUUAAUCGGGGCAGGGUGAGUCGACCCCUAAGGCGAGGCCGAAAGGCGUAGUCGAUGGGAAACAGGUUAAUAUUCCUGUACUUGGUGUUACUGCGAAGGGGGGACGGAGAAGGCUAUGUUGGCCGGGCGACGGUUGUCCCGGUUUAAGCGUGUAGGCUGGUUUUCCAGGCAAAUCCGGAAAAUCAAGGCUGAGGCGUGAUGACGAGGCACUACGGUGCUGAAGCAACAAAUGCCCUGCUUCCAGGAAAAGCCUCUAAGCAUCAGGUAACAUCAAAUCGUACCCCAAACCGACACAGGUGGUCAGGUAGAGAAUACCAAGGCGCUUGAGAGAACUCGGGUGAAGGAACUAGGCAAAAUGGUGCCGUAACUUCGGGAGAAGGCACGCUGAUAUGUAGGUGAAGUCCCUUGCGGAUGGAGCUGAAAUCAGUCGAAGAUACCAGCUGGCUGCAACUGUUUAUUAAAAACACAGCACUGUGCAAACACGAAAGUGGACGUAUACGGUGUGACGCCUGCCCGGUGCCGGAAGGUUAAUUGAUGGGGUCAGCGCAAGCGAAGCUCUUGAUCGAAGCCCCGGUAAACGGCGGCCGUAACUAUAACGGUCCUAAGGUAGCGAAAUUCCUUGUCGGGUAAGUUCCGACCUGCACGAAUGGCGUAAUGAUGGCCAGGCUGUCUCCACCCGAGACUCAGUGAAAUUGAACUCGCUGUGAAGAUGCAGUGUACCCGCGGCAAGACGGAAAGACCCCGUGAACCUUUACUAUAGCUUGACACUGAACAUUGAGCCUUGAUGUGUAGGAUAGGUGGGAGGCUUUGAAGUGUGGACGCCAGUCUGCAUGGAGCCGGCCUUGAAAUACCACCCUUUAAUGUUUGAUGUUCUAACGUGGACCCGUGAUCCGGGUUGCGGACAGUGUCUGGUGGGUAGUUUGACUGGGGCGGUCUCCUCCUAAAGAGUAACGGAGGAGCACGAAGGUUGGCUAAUCCUGGUCGGACAUCAGGAGGUUAGUGCAAUGGCAUAAGCCAGCUUGACUGCGAGCGUGACGGCGCGAGCAGGUGCGAAAGCAGGUCAUAGUGAUCCGGUGGUUCUGAAUGGAAGGGCCAUCGCUCAACGGAUAAAAGGUACUCCGGGGAUAACAGGCUGAUACCGCCCAAGAGUUCAUAUCGACGGCGGUGUUUGGCACCUCGAUGUCGGCUCAUCACAUCCUGGGGCUGAAGUAGGUCCCAAGGGUAUGGCUGUUCGCCAUUUAAAGUGGUACGCGAGCUGGGUUUAGAACGUCGUGAGACAGUUCGGUCCCUAUCUGCCGUGGGCGCUGGAGAACUGAGGGGGGCUGCUCCUAGUACGAGAGGACCGGAGUGGACGCAUCACUGGUGUUCGGGUUGUCAUGCCAAUGGCACUGCCCGGUAGCUAAAUGCGGAAGAGAUAAGUGCUGAAAGCAUCUAAGCACGAAACUUGCCCCGAGAUGAGUUCUCCCUGACCCUUUAAGGGUCCUGAAGGAACGUUGAAGACGACGACGUUGAUAGGCCGGGUGUGUAAGCGCAGCGAUGCGUUGAGCUAACCGGUACUAAUGAACCGUGAGGCUUAACCUU